CGCAUCUGUGCAUGCAGCAUAUCAAUAAGCGGAGGAAAAGAAACUAACAAGGGUUCCCCUAGUAACGGCGAGUGAAGCGGGAAGAGCUCAAAUUUGAAAUCUUAAAGGGUUUCCCUUUACGAAUUGUAGUUUAAAGAAGUGUUUUCUGUUGAGGUUUUGGUAAAAGUUCUUUGGAAUAGGACAUCAUAGAGGGUGAGAAUCCCGUAUUUGACCUUUACUUUCAACUUUGUGAUACACUUUCAAAGAGUCGGAUUGUUUGGGAAUGCAGUCCAAAAUGGGUGGUAAAUUUCAUCUAAAGCUAAAUAUUGGCGAGAGACCGAUAGCGAACAAGUACCGUGAGGGAAAGAUGAAAAGAACUUUGAAAAGAGAGUUAAACAGUACGUGAAAUUGUCAAAAGGGAAGCGUUUGACACCAGUGUUGUUUUUCUGAAAAUCAAUUAAAGAACUGUUUAUGCUAAGUUGUUUAGACUUUAUCAGCUAACUGUUUAGUUUUGAGCUUUUCUUUAAUGCACUUUUCAGUUAACAAGUCAACAUCAAUUUCUUUUGCUGUAAAAAAGCUUGAGGAAGGUGGCUUGAGAUUCGUCUUAAGUGUUUAUAGCCUCUUGCCUAUGCAGUCGGAGAGAUUGAGGUCUGCAGCGUAGAUCCUUCGGGGCUAAAUGCAUUUGUGCUAAGUUAUAGCAUUUUAUAGACAACUUGUUGACUAUGAUUUGUCUUGUAGCUUACUCGCUUAUGUUAUUUUACCUACGCUUAGGAUGUUGAGCGCAUGUCUCUCUCU
rnacentral:rRNA from 1 species